AAGGAACAUUACUUUGACUGGUGAUUUUUUAAAUAUUUUUUUCCCCCUCCUGCGUUUAGGUUUUCUGAGGCCAAAAAUGUGUAAAACAAGAAAUAAAAUUGGUCUGGCCUUAUAGUAGCAAUGUUGCAAAUUGAAGAGA